GAAGUGAAGAAAACUGGAGAGUAAAACCCGGAUCGAAACGGUGACGGGGGGAGCUAGCAAGUGGGGGACUGGAGGUGGAGCAGGAGAGCACUGGAGUGGAGAUCCUGCCUGCGGAUCCAGUGCGCGGUCAGCGGGGAAAGGGGACUGACGAUGACCGCAUCUUUUGCUUGCUCUGACGUGCGAGGGCAGAGAGAGAGACUGACAGAGGGGGAGAAAGAGAGACAGUCUCUCAGAGCAGCUCCAGCGUAUACAGUUCACAGCUUGGUUCGAGAAAGCUGGCCGUGCAUGGCUGCAUGCACUCGAUCAUGCAUGUGCAAACAAAAAGGAAGAAUCAAAGUACUGUGUGCAGCCAGAUGGGACGAACGAUGAUGAUGAUGGUGUUUGUGUUUUAUCCUCCAUCUAGCUCGCUUUGCAUGGUGCUCGAUCAAGGGGAGAGAGAUGUAUGUAAUCUUUAUCCUCCAUCUAGCUCGUGUUGUCUUGUAAAAUUCAGUUGUUAGUAAAUAAAUAAAACAUGUAACAGCUGU